rnacentral:rRNA from 1 species
UACGGAGGAUGCAAGCGUUAUCCGGAUUUAUUGGGCGUAAAGCGUCCGCAGGUGGUUUUCCAAGUCUGCUGUUAAAGCGCGAGGCUUAACCUCGUACAGGCAGUGGAAACUGGAUGACUAGAGUAUGGUAGGGGUAGCGGGAAUUCCCGGUGUAGCGGUGAAAUGCGCAGAGAUCGGGAGGAACACCCGUAGCGAAGGCGGCACUCUGGGCCGGUACUGACGCUGAGGAGCGAAAGCGUGGGGAGCAAACAGG